UCCCUGUUAGCUCAGUUGGUAUAGCAUCCACCUGCAAUGAGGGAGACUUGGGUUCGAUCCCUGGGUUGGGAA
rnacentral:tRNA from 1 species